UGAGCCAAGUUUAGGGUUUUCUCAAAACCCAAGCAGUAUUGAACUGAAGAGUUUGAUCAUGGCUCAGAUUGAACGCUGGCGGCAGGCCUAACACAUGCAAGUCGAGCGGAUGAAGGGAGCUUGCUCCUGGAUUCAGCGGCGGACGGGUGAGUAAUG
rnacentral:rRNA from 1 species